GUACCUGCGGAAGGAUCAUUAAAGAUUAUGAAUGAAUAGAUUACUGGGGGAAUCGUCUGAACAAGGCCUGCGCUUAAUUGCGCGGCCAGUUCUUGAUUCUCUGCUAUCAGUUUUCUAUUUCUCAUCCUAAACACAAUGGAGUUUUUUCUCUAUGAACUACUUCCCUGGAGAGCUCGUCUCUCCAGUGGACAUAAACACAAACAAUAUUUUGUAUUAUGAAAAACUAUUAUACUAUAAAAUUUAAUAUUCAAAACUUUCAACAACGGAUCUCUUGGUUCUCGCAUCGAUGAAGAACGCAGCGAAUUGCGAUAUGUAUUGUGAAUUGCAGAUUUUCGUGAAUCAUCAAAUCUUUGAACGCACAUUGCGCCCUCUGGUAUUCCAGGGGGCAUGCCUGUUUGAGCGUCAUUUCUCUCUCAAACCUUUGGGUUUGGUAGUGAGUGAUACUCGUCUCGGGUUAACUUGAAAGUGGCUAGCCGUUGCCAUCUGCGUGAGCAGGGCUGCGUGUCAAGUCUAUGGACUCGACUCUUGCACAUCUACGUCUUAGGUUUGCGCCAAUUCGUGGUAAGCUUGGGUCAUAGAGACUCAUAGGUGUUAUAAAGACUCGCUGGUGUUUGUCUCCUUGAGGCAUACGGCUUUAACCAAAACUCUCAAAGUUUGACCUCAAAUCAGGUAGGAGUACCCGCUGAACUUAAGCAUAUCAAAGCCGGGAGGAAGAA
rnacentral:rRNA from 1 species